rnacentral:rRNA from 1 species
AUUGAACGCUGGCGGCAGGCCUAACACAUGCAAGUCGAGCGGAUGAAGGGAGCUUGCUCCUGGAUCCAGCGGCGGAAGGGUGAGUAAUGCCUAGGAAUCUGCUUGGUAGUGGGGGAUAACGUCCGGAAACGGGUGCUAAUACCGCAUACGUCCUGCGGGAGCAAGUGGGGGAUCUUCGGACCUCAUGCUAUCAGAUGAGCCUAGGUCGGAUUAGAUAGUUGGUGGGGUAAAGGCCUACCAAGGCGAGUAUCCGUAACUGGUCUGUGAGGAUGGUCAGUCACACUGGAACGUAGACACGGUCCAUGCGCCUACGGGAGGCAGCAGUGGGGAAUAGUGGACAGUGGGCGAAAACCUUAUCCAGCCAGGCCGCGUGUGUGAAGAAGGUCUUCGGAUUGUAAAGCACUUUAAGUUGUGGGGAAGGGCAGUAAGUUAAGACCUUGCUGUUGUGACGGUACCAGCAGAAUAAGCACCGGCUAACUUCGUG